rnacentral:rRNA from 1 species
AUGACUUCUGUGCUUGCACAGAAUGAUUAGUGGCGAACGGGUGAGUAACACGUGAGUAACCUGCCCUUAACUUCGGGAUAAGCCUGGGAAACCGGGUCUAAUACCGGAUACGACCUCCUGGCGCAUGCCAUGGUGGUGGAAAGCUUUAGCGGUUUUGGAUGGACUCGCGGCCUAUCAGCUUGUUGGUUGGGGUAAUGGCCCACCAAGGCGACGACGGGUAGCCGGCCUGAGAGGGUGACCGGCCACACUGGGACUGAGACACGGCCCAGACUCCUACGGGAGGCAGCAGUGGGGAAUAUUGCACAAUGGGCGAAAGCCUGAUGCAGCGACGCCGCGUGAGGGAUGACGGCCUUCGGGUUGUAAACCUCUUUCAGCAGGGAAGAAGCGAAAGUGACGGUACCUGCAGAAGAAGCGCCGGCUAACUACGUGCCAGCAGCCGCGGUAAUACGUAGGGCGCAAGCGUUAUCCGGAAUUAUUGGGCGUAAAGAGCUCGUAGGCGGUUUGUCGCGUCUGCUGUGAAAGCCCGGGGCUCAACCCCGGGUCUGCAGUGGGUACGGGCAGACUAGAGUGCAGUAGGGGAGACUGGAAUUCCUGGUGUAGCGGUGAAAUGCGCAGA